UACGUAGGUGGCAAGCGUUGUCCGGAUUUACUGGGCGUAAAGAGCGCGCAGGCGGUCGUUUAAGUCAAAUGUGAAAGCCCCCGGCUCAACUGGGGAGGGUCAUUCGAUACUGAUCGACUUGAAGGCAGGAGAGAGAAGUGGAAUUCCCGGUGUAGUGGAUGGAAAUGCGUAGAUAUCGGGAGGAACACCAGUGGCGAAGGCGACUUCUUGGCCUGUUCGUUG
rnacentral:rRNA from 1 species